GAUCAAGCGUAUAAGGGCUUCUGAUGGAUGCCUUGGCGUCGAGAGGCGAUGAAGGACGUGGCACGCUGCGAUAAGCUUCGGGGAGGCGCGAGCACCCUUUGAUCCGAAGAUUUCCGAAUGGGGAAACCCACCUUAACGGUCUGCGAAUUUUACCUUCGGCUUCGGCCGGCGGUACGGUUCGUAGGGCGUUUAAAGGUAUAAUGACCUGAAUACAUAGGGUUCAUUAAGCAAACCCGGGGAACUGAAACAUCUCAGUACCCGGAGGAAAGGACAUCAACCGAGACUCCCGUAGUAGUGGCGAGCGAACCGGGACCAGGCCAGUGCUGUCGUGACAUAAAGCUGAACGACUUGGAAAGGUCGGCCAUAGUGGGUGAUAGCCCCGUAAGCAUCAAUUAGCGACAGACUCGAGUAGGGCGGGACACGUGAAAUCCUGUC
rnacentral:rRNA from 1 species